AUACUUAUCUGGCAGGAGUGAUUCUAUGAUCAUGAAGGUGGUUUCCCCCUGGGUGAGGCUUAUCUGUUGCACUCCAUAUAGGUUUGACCCCUGUGAUUUCCCCAAAUAUGGGUAAUUUGUGGUAGUGGGGGUCUUCAAGCUCUCCCCUA
rnacentral:snRNA from 1 species